ACAGUUCGGUCUCUAUCUAUCGUGGGCGUAUGAAAUUUGCGUGGCUCUGACACUAGUACGAGAGGACCGUGUUGGACUGACCGCUGGUUUACCAGUUGUGCCGCCAGGUGCAUUGCUGGGUAUCUAAGUCGGGAUUGGAUAAGUGCUGAAAGCAUCUAAGUACGAAGCCAGCCACAAGAUUAGAUUUCUUAGGGUCGUUAAAGACGAUGACGUUGAUAGGAUGCAGGUGUAAAGGUGGUAACAUCAAAGCCGAGCAUUACUAAUUGCCCGUUCACUUUCUUUU
rnacentral:rRNA from 1 species